CUCUUUUGUUUUCAUUGAAUUGGAACUGCAGUUUAUCCUCUUUCUUCGUUUCUCGCCAAUCUGUGAUUUCGUUUAUGCUGUUGCUGCGUGUUUUUAUUUUGAUUUCUGUGUUUUAUUUGCUUCAAGUUUAGAAUCCGAUUGAGUUGGCUUUGCAUGAUGGUUUGUCCGUGUUUUCUCCUUAACAUUUUCUCAUCUUCGAACAACUAGGGUUUCCGAAUUCCGAUCAAUCGGCGCCGCGAAGAUGUUUGGCAGAGCGCCGCCGAAGAAGAGUGACAGCACCAGGUACUACGACAUCUUGGGUGUCUCUAAGACCGUUUCGCAAGAUGAUUUGAAGAAAGCUUACAAGAAAGCCGCCAUUAAGAAUCACCCUGAUAAGGGUGGUGAUCCUGAAAAGUUCAAGGAGUUGGCACAAGCUUAUGAGGUUCUGAAUGACCCUGAGAAGCGUGAGAUAUAUGAUAAUUAUGUACACCUAUGUUUUCUUCAUACCAAUUGGUCUGCUUUGCAUGAAACUUUUCUGUCCCGUUUGACAUAUUCUCAUCUUUCUUUGGUGGGAGUCCCUUUUCAUCAGGUGGUGGUGGUAGUCGAGGGCGGAGGCAGAGACGUGGAGAAGAUGUUGUUUACCCUCAAUUUUUCAUAAGUAAGAAGCACAUUCAUGUGUGACCAAAUAGAAGGUUGCAGUUGCAAAGCAGUACAUAGAAAAUCAUUAUAAGAAAGCUGAUGAAAGACCUGCAAGAGAGAAAGGACCGGUAUCGGUUAUAUCAGAAGGUAGCUUUAAUUAACCUGAGAAAUUUUGGGCAUGGAAGUUGCAUAAAUAGCUUCACCCUAGAGCUAGCUUUGCAAAUCCAAAAGGGUUUUCAAGAAAGAAUUUGUCAAAGUAUCUGAAUAGGGCAGCUUAUUGCAGAUUUGGCUGAGAUUGUUGUCAACUUUGUAAGAUCAAGUUUUGAUCUAGUAGUACAACUCUAUGUUUUGAUGAUUACAAGUUAACCUUUUGAUAUGAACAAUUGUGGUACUCUAACGUGUUUUUCUGAGUGUGCUAU